rnacentral:rRNA from 1 species
CCUACGGGAGGCAGCAGUGGGGAAUAUUGCACAAUGGGGGCAACCCUGAUGCAGCGACGCCGCGUGAGUGAAGAAGUAAUUCGUUAUGUAAAGCACUAUCAGCAGGGAAGAAAAUGACGGUACCUGAGUAAGAAGCCCCGGCUAACUACGUGCCAGCAGCCGCGGUAAUACGUAGGGGGCAAGCGUUAUCCGGAUUUACUGGGUGUAAAGGGAGCGUAGACGGCAGUGCAAGUCUGGAGUGAAAGGCGGGGGCUCAACCCCCGAACUGCUCUGGAAACUGUACGGCUUGAGUGCAGGAGAGGUAAGUGGAAUUCCUAGUGUAGCGGUGAAAUGCGUAGAGAUUAGGAGGAACACCAGUGGCGAAGGCGGCUUACUGGACUGUAACUGACGUUGAGGCGCGAAAGCGUGGGGAGCAAACAGGAUUAGAUACCCUUGUAGUC